GCGGAUGAAAGUCUGCUUCCCUUCGGGGCACGAAACUAGGUGCUGCAUGGUUGUCGUCAGCUCGUGCCGUGAGGUGUCGGCUUAAGUGCCAUAACGAGCGCAACCCUUGCCGUUAGUUGCCAGCGGGUGAUGCCGGGAACUCUAGCGGGACUGCUACUGUAAGGUAGAGGAAGGUGGGGAUGACGUCAAAUCAGCACGGCCCUUACGUCCGGGGCGACACACGUGUUACAAUGGUAGGUACAGAGGGUUGCUACCCCGCGAGGGGAUGCUAAUCUCAUAAAACCUAUCUCAGUUCGGAUCGGAGUCUGCAACUCGACUCCGUGAAGCUGGAUUCGCUAGUAAUCGCGCAUCAGCCAUGGCGCGGUGAAUACGUUCCCGGGCCUUGUACACACCGCCCGUCAAGCCAUGGAAGCUGGGGGUACCUAAAGUCUGCAACCGCAAGGAGCGGCCUAGGGUAAAACUGGUAACUGGGGCUAAGUCGUAACAAGGUAGCCGUA
rnacentral:rRNA from 1 species